ACGAACGCUGGCGGCGUGCUUAACACAUGCAAGUCGAGCGGUAAGGCCCUUUCGGGGGUACACGAGCGGCGAACGGGUGAGUAACACGUGGGUGACCUGCCCUCAGCUCUGGGAUAAGCCUGGGAAACCGGGUCUAAUACCGGAUAUGACUCCAUGACGCAUGUUGUGGGGUGGAAAGCCUUGUGCGGCUGAGGAUGGGCCCGCGGCCUAUCAGCUUGUUGGUGGGGUGANGGCCUACCAAGGCGACGACGGGUAGCCGGCCUGAGAGGGCGACCGGCCACACUGGGACUGAGACACGGCCCAGACUCCUACGGGAGGCAGCAGUGGGGAAUCUUGCGCAAUGGGCGAAAGCCUGACGCAGCGACGCCGCGUGAGGGAUGACGGCCUGG
rnacentral:rRNA from 1 species